GCGUCAGUGGUUUAGUGGUAGAAUUCCUGUUUCCCAUGCUGGAGAUCCGCGUUCGACUCCUGCUUGGUGCA
rnacentral:tRNA from 1 species